UAGGGAAUCUUCCGCAAUGGACGAAAGUCUGACGGAGCAACGCCGCGUGAGUGAAGAAGGAUUUCGGUUCGUAAAACUCUGUUGUUAGGGAAGAAAAAAUGUAUAGUAACUAUAUACAAAAGAGACGGUACCUAACCAGAAAGCCACGGCUAACUACGUGCCAGCAGCCGCGGUAAUACGUAGGUGGCAAGCGUUGUCCGGAAUUAUUGGGCGUAAAGCGCGCGCAGGUGGUUUAGAAAGUCUGAUGUGAAAGCCCACGGCUCAACCGUGGAGGGUCAUUGGAAACUAAUAAACUUGAGUGCAGGAGAGAAAAGUGGAAUUCCUAGUGUAGCGGUGAAAUGCGUAGAGAUUAGGAGGAACACCGGUGGCGAAAGCGGCUUUUUGGCCUGCAACUGACCCUGAGGCGCGAAAGCGUGGGGAGCAAACAGG
rnacentral:rRNA from 1 species